UGGGGCCUAAGCUUUGUCCUUUGUUCUUGAUGCAUGGGACCCCUUCUCCCAGCUCCCUGUGCGUGCGUGCGCACGCACAUGUGUCUCCCUGCCCUGGUCUGGGGCAAUGGUGUCUGAUCAUCCUCUCUGGUUGAGGACAGUCAGCUAUUUGUCUGAGAGCCAAGUGCAACUAGCAAAGGUUCAGACGCCUUUUGCUUCCUGAGUAGGGAGGUGGCCUUACCCUGUGGGAAGCAUCAGUUGGAGGGAGAUGAAUUUAGCUGCCCUCCCCAGUUGGUGGUGGGGGAGGGUCCUGUCAGCCAGAGGAUGUAGGCUUAGCUCCAAAAGGGCUUUUGUCUGAGGCUGGGCCUCAGGCCAGAGUGACAUUCUUCGGUGCAGGCUGCCAGGCCACCACUGAGUGGGCACCUGCAGGGCAGCUAGGGAAGGAGUGAGGGGCCUGUCUUUUUCUCCACAGAGGGGAUGGAAUCUUCCAUUUGAAGGCUCCUGGAGUGCGGAGGCCGUGCCUGUGGUUGCUCCUGGCUCCAGAAGACAUGCCAAGGCCCAGGCUACCCAGGGAUGUGGGCAAUUAACAUUUUAGCUUCUGUCAUGUCUGAUAAAGAUCCCCACAAGAUGAAAGGAAUCUGCUCUAUCUUGAAAGAGUGCAGCGGAAGAAACCUAAGCUCAUAGAAAGACCUGGGAGCCUCUGUCACAGUUUCCCCCUGCAGUGUGGAUACCGCCCUUCACUGAGAAUGUGUUUGCCCCACCCUAACCCUCUGCACAGGUGGGUGUACCACAUCCCAUGCUGUGGGUGUCGACUGCUGAGUCCCACAGCUAUCACUUCUUUGGGAACCAUCUCUCUAGGGAGGUUGCAUGAAUUCCUUCUGUCCUGAGGGGCCUCCACGGCCUGACAGAGGCCCUCAAGGAGGUAGCAGGCCUAGGCCUAGAGGAUAGUUCAUGAUUCAGGGCCCUGGAGGACCAGGCUGAGGCAAGGCUUUGACUGACACAACUUUGUCUCUAGCUUAUCCCUUGCUAGUACUGUGUUCUCUCUCUGUCUGUCUCUGUCUCUGUCUCUGUCUCUCUCUCUCUCUCUUUCCCCGUGUGUGCUAAUGUCAGGUUGUUUUGUUUUUUUCUUUUCUAUCAUUCUUCACCUUAUUUUAUGAGACAGGUUCUCUCAAGGAAUCCAGAGCUUGCUAUUUUGCCUAGCCUGACUAGCCAGCACGCCCUGGGAACCUCCUGUCUCUACCCUGCCCAAUGCUAGGAUCACAGAUAUGCUGUGCCCAGCUUUUUUCUGAACUUGGUCCAUGUUUGCACAGCACACAUUUUACCUCUGAGCCAUCUUCCCAAACUGCAUCCCAGAACCUGGUAUUAGCUCUCUUGCUCCCUUCAUCCUGAAAGCCUUUGUGAGCUAAUCCCUUACAGGAGAACCUGAGUACUUGGGACUGGACAAGAAGCUCAGAGGUUAAAAAUGCUUCCUGUUCUUCUGGAAGACCUGAGUUCACAUUCCGGUGGUCACAUCUGGUGGCCCACAACUGCUUGUAGCUCCAGCUCCCAGUGAUCUGGCGCCCAAUUUAGUUACCAACAGACAUCUGCCCUUCUAUAUAUAAAUAAAAAAUUAAAUAUUUUAAAAAUUUCAGCACUUGUUCUGCUAUCUCAUGAACGCUACUUCUCUUGUGAGUCUGUUCUAGAACAGCUACUGGGGACUCCCCACACUCCAGGUGUGUUUGUCUUGACUGAAGACAGCAGUAAGGCAGGUCAGUGUAGCUUUCCCAUCAUUGAACUGACAGCCUACUUGCUGGUGCUCAAACUUGAUGUUCCUAUGGACAUUGCCAUCUUCCAAUGCACUGGGCUACGUUCAUACAUCUGGGACACAUGUAGCCUGCAGCUUGGACAUGCCUGGUGGUGGAAAGACAUGACUAUUAAAUAAUCACAAAAAUUCAGUUAUGGUUGCGAUUAACAUCCUGCAUCAGCAGGACGAGCUACAGAGAAACAUGGUGUAACAUCUCUUCUACGCUCGGCUCUCGAACUCUGGGGUAGGACUCUGAAAACUCCGUUUCUAGACAGCAGCCAUCUUUUUGUUAGAUUCUGCUAACAGGAGACAUGAGGAAGGCAGAAGGAGAAAGAAGUCACUUUCUGUAUUCUCUUGUUCUUGCCACCCUCGCUGCACCUGGGUGUGUCUCUUCUUCAAUGACUGAGCACCCUCUCGGCCCAGAGCAGCAUAUGGCUGCCAUCCCAAGCCUGCGGGGCAUCUGCAGAUCUACCAGCAGGAGCUAGGAGCCUCCCUGUUCUGGAAACAUCGCCAUGGAUGUCUCUGUGUUUCCUAGCUGUAGGAUUGGCAAUGCUAUCCUGCUGAUCCUUGAAUUACCUCAAUGUCUCUUUGUGUGCAACCCAACAGCACCUAUAAUUGCUCCCCCAGUGUAGAAUACCUCUUGUGUUUUUAGAGUCCCACCGGGACCUAAACCAGAUGGGGAACAUUCAGUCUGGGCCAAAGGUAACUCUAAAGAAAUACAUUUAGGUCGCUGGCUUAAUGGAUCAGUAGGGCUCACUGGGUGAGGGGGCCUGGAAGAAAUAGGGUAGAGAGGGAAUGCAGUCUCUGGAAAGAGAGAAGGCCUACGUCAUCUAGAAGAAUGAAAAAAAGCAAUGGUCCCAUCGUGCAGGACAUGAAAAGACAGGGAGCCAUUGAGGAAUCCUGAAGAAUGGCUUCGAUUACAGAACGAAUGCCAAGUGGACACUGUCCACUUCCAGCACUUCCCUCUGGUGUUGAGGGACUCUCACCUUCCUCCGCUGUUGGAAUCUGUUGUAUCAGAAACACAAAAGUGAUGUAGCAGCAAUCAUAGUUCAUUUCUAUGGAGGAUUAGACAAGGGGACUAAGAAUAUAGUACCUUGGUAGAACCCUUACCUAUCAUGUGUGAGGCCACAGGUUCAAUCCUCAGCACUGAAAAGAAGAAACAGGAAAGGUCUCCUUUGGGGUAUAUGCAACCCCACUGAUGGUUGAGUUAAAGGAAAGAUCUUCGUGUGAAGAAUACAGCAGGCCUCCUUCUGCAAAGACAGUUAAGAGUCUCUGUGCAUUGAACAAAUGGACGAUGGUGAGUGGCAGCCUUGAGCUCGACACAGUCGGUCAGCUUGAGUUCUAGUGCUGCCUCUGCUUUCUGCCUUGAGAACACAGACUAGCUUCUUUGAGUCCUUGGUGCCUUGUCUGACAGUUGUGUCUUCUGGGCGCUUUAAAAUUAGGUCAUAUUGGGCCGGGUGGCAGUGGCACAUGCCUUUAAUCCCAGCACUCGGAAGCAGAGGCAGGAGGAUCUUUGUGAGUUCGAGACCAGCCUGGUCUACAAGAGCUAGUUCCAGGACAGGCUCCAAAGCUACAGAGAAACCCUGUCUCAAAAAACAAAAAACAAACAAACAAACAAACAAACCCAAAAUUAGGUCAUAUUGAUACAACACCCGGCUCGGUGACUGGUACCCAAUAGUCCCUUAAAAUGUACUAUCAUUUUCAUAGUUACUCUGACUUCAGAGUGGUAUUCCUGUAACCUCUACUUCAAUAGAGAUCCUGAAAAUUUAGCCUAAUCCCUUUUCCACGUGAGGACAUUUCUGCCAUGCUAUAUUCCCUUGCUUUGAUUUUCUUCGGAGUGGUGUUCUCGGAUGUUCUUUUUGGCCACCUGGGUCAAGUCCUGAGCUGUCUUCACCCUGAUCCCUGUGGUCCCAUCCUAUAAGGCUCCUCCUAGAUCCACUAAUGAUCACACCUACCAGCUGGGUUUGUCCAGGAUUGUCGUACUGCUGCCACAAGCUUCAAGUGCAGAUAUUUACUGAUGGUCUCUCUUUGAUGAUUGCUUUGACAUGGCGAUUGUUCAAAUGAAAGUUCUGUGUAGUUUUCAGGCUUGCAAGAGCAUGUGUUUAGAGGAGUUAACUUCAACAGGAGCAUGAGAAACCAAUUUCCCUGGUGUCCUGCAAUUGUGCAUCAAGUCUGCUUCCUUUCCCACCUUCUCCAGAUUCACACAACACCUAGAGAAAAUUGAAUGGUGAUGUGGACAAGAAGUGGCAUUUAGCAGUUCCCUGCCUGGCUGGGAAAUUUAGCUGUCAAUCAUUUAUUGGACCUAGAUAUUCUAUGAUGUGCAGUCCACAGCUCCCUGGUCUUGACCUACUCAGGCCAUGCUUCUGUUUGCUCCUUCAUCUGUUCGUUCAGCAUGAUGCAUUGGUUCUCCUGAGAAACAGAAUUGUUAGAAUAAAGAUAUAUUUCACAAUACGAGCUGGAUAGUCUAACAGUGACUCUCUUCAUACUAGAGAGGCUGAGACCUCGGGUGGUACUCAGUCCAUGAGUCUGAAUGUCUCAGCAGUACUGGAAGCCCAGAGGAUCCCUGGAGAGUCACUGGUCUUCAGUCUUCAUUAGAAGCCGUCAGAGCUGGGUUCUGAUGUCAGUGAGGGAAUACAGCGGCAGCAGCAAUGAUGCUGAUGGGCUCAUAAAUAAGACGAACUUGCCAGCAAGAUGCAAAGUCAAGCCGACAGAAAGAUAAAAGAUUUUCUCUCUGACCACCUAGCGUCUGGCUGCCAAGGCAAGGUGCCGCCCACAGUUAGGGAGGCUCUUUCCACUUCAGUUAACCUGAUCAAGAACAGCAUCACCAGGGUGCCCAGCAGUUUGCCUAUUACCUGAUGAUCUAGAUCUAAUCAAGUUCACAGCCCAAAAUUAGCCAUUACAAGCACUUAUCCACUUUGUGCCAGUUCCAUGCCGGGCACACGCUUCUAUGAUCUCAUCUUCUCUGGCGAUAACGAGGCAGGCGCUAAACUAUCUUUAUUGUCAUACGUGACUGAGUAUCAAUAACCGAAAUUUCUUAUCUGCUUUUCCAUGAGCAUACUUGAAAACAAAACCGUGGUUCUGACUUCUAAACCAGUUCUAAACUGCUUUUGUUGUCAUCCUAUGAAAGACUGCCUAUUCUAUAGUAACUCCCCACUGUAUCUGCGUUUGAAGAUGGGAAAGUGGACGAGGACCUGCCACGUAUUCUGAGGCUGUACUCAUCUGAGCACCCGAGCUUCGCUAAGCAACCACUGUGUUAAAGGCAUCACAUGAGGAGAGCAGCUGUACAUCUUCUUGGCCUCCAGGCUGUGCAGUUGCCACUCUCUGUUCUGAGUUUCCUGAAGGAUUAAGUCGAUCUGGUGACCGAGAAGUUCUAGGUUCCUUAUAGAAUUUUAUGGACACCUUUGCCCAAGGUGUCCAUGGAAGACGGAGCGCACAUCUGUUCACGGUACUGCUCUGAUGUAGACCAUCCAGAGACCAUCUAUAGUUGGCCGUCCAUGUACAGAUGCCUUGGCAGCACGUGUGAGGCUCUGACUGAAGCUUCACGUGCACCUCAGAAACAUGAAGACAGGAAGAACAACACUUAUUCAUCCAUCACCAAAACGUGUGCCUUGGGGACCUGAGCUAAGUACCUUAAAGACCUCUAAGUCUCAACUCUCAGUGACUUGAAUUUAAUGUCUUGGGGGACAUCAGACAUAAGGGUGCUGAUACGACUCCCCAGAGUCACACGGGAGAGAAAACAAAUGGGCCUAUCAGGAAGAUCAUUGACCCUCACGUGAAGAGACUGGGUUUCCAGGUUUGCUGGAUGCUAAUCAGAGUUUUUUAGUCUGGACUCAGGUGUGAGGGUUUCCUCAAUGCCCAUUUGUGCCCCUCAGGCUCCUGAUCCCAAGUAUGGUUUCCUUCUCUCGGCAUGGGUUUUAGUCCACACUUUAAAUAAUUAAGUUCUUUUAUCUGGCCCCAGAAUCUCCCUCUGGACUGCUUUUUCUGAGCUGCCAAUUACCCCUUCUCUGGCUCUGGCCUUACUUAGAGAGUGCCGGAAAAAAAAUGGAGAGAGGUCACAUGGAACAUCCCCACUGACUAACAUUAAACCACAUCUUCUCGGGU